rnacentral:hammerhead_ribozyme from 1 species
AUUCAGUUGACGAGUCCUAAGUAGGACGAAACGCGCGUGUCCUGGAU